GGGCCAGUGGCGCAAUGGAUAACGCGUCUGACUACAAAUCAGAAGAUUGAAGGUUCGACUCCUACCUGGCUCG